AGAGUUUGAUCCUGGCUCAGAUUAAACGCUGGCGGCAUGCCUUACACAUGCAAGUCGAACGGUAACGCGGGGGCAACCCUGGCGACGAGUGGCGAACGGGUGAGUAAUACAUCGGAACAUAUCCAGUAGCGGGGGAUAACCUAUCGAAAGAUGGACUAAUACCGCAUACGAUCUACGGAUGAAAGCAGGGGACCGCAAGGCCUUGCACUAUUGGAGUGGCCGAUGUCGGAUUAGCUAGUUGGUGGGGUAAAAGCUUACCAAGGCGACGAUCCGUAGCUGGUCUGAGAGGACGAUCAGCCACACUGGAACUGAGACACGGUCCAGACUCCUACGGGAGGCAGCAGUGGGGAAUUUUGGACAAUGGGGGCAACCCUGAUCCAGCCAUGCCGCGUGAGUGAAGAAGGCCUUCGGGUUGUAAAGCUCUUUCGGUGAAGACGAAACGGUUAGUGUUAAUAACACUGACUAAUGACGGUACUCACAGAAGAAGCACCGGCUAACUACGUGCCAGCAGCCGCGGUAAU
rnacentral:rRNA from 1 species